UACGAAGGGAGCUAGCGUUGUUCGGAAUUACUGGGCGUAAAGGGCUCGUAGGCGGCCAACUAAGUCGGAUGUGAAAUCCCCAGGCUUAACCUGGGAACUGCAUCCGAUACUGGGAUGGCUUGAAUUCGGGAGAGGGAUGCAGAAUUCCAGGUGUAGCGGUGAAAUGCGUAGAUAUCUGGAGGAAUACCGGUGGCGAAGGCGGCAUCCUGGACCGACAUUGACGCUGAAAACCGAAAGCUAGGGGAGCAAACGGG
rnacentral:rRNA from 1 species